rnacentral:lncRNA from 1 species
ACAAUCUACCAAUAUUAGAAUGAUGAGCAUAGAAAAUAGGGUCUCUAGCAGCUGAAUAAAAAUCUCCCAUGUUUUCAAAAUUAGGUCGGGUUCUAUCACCGGUCCAAACAUGGACCGGUCCAUGAGGUAUGCUCUCGAGCGAUCCACCUCCACCGGACUCACCACCCGCCCGGUAAGGGUCUCCGAGAAAAGUCGCCGGAGUACUUCCAAGAGAAAUCAUUUGCCUAUAAAUGGUAGUGAGAUUUUGGGAAGUUUGUUGAGCGUUACUUAUGGUAGGAUCCGUUCCAUUGAAGUCGAGAUGGCAGGAAGUCUCAUGCCAUCAGGAUGAUCCCAGUUCCAAAAUGGGAUAGCGAAGUUAGGGUCAUUUAUUAAGCUACCCAAGAUUUUUUCCAAGAAGUAGAGAUAACAACGAUGGAAAGGGUGGAAAAGCCAAGAGAAAUGAACCUGGAGCUCAGAGUUUGGGAACCCUAGUUGGUCAUAAGCACCAUCACAGUAAGCACAAUGAACAUUUGCUUGUUUCUUGAAGCUAUGUGGAUCAUCGUCUGGAAGUUGUUUCAUGAGCUGAAUAGCUCUGUUGAAUUUCUCUAUAUAGGCACUAUCGGCGGAAUGAGCUGCAGGCCGAGUACGGAGGGUGGUUGACGGUGGUGGAAGUUGGAAGUCUAUGAUAUUUCCCGUUAUCGGAGGACAACAGUUGACUGGCGCUGCACCUGUAAGGAAAAAAAAAGAACAUAGACAAAAUUGAGAAAAAGGCUUUGAAGCGUAAAAACAACUCCAUAUCAUUUGGGAAAAUAUAGACAAGUUUUAUCAGAAUACAACAAUGGUACAAUAUAUUACAAAUUAACUUAACCAUUUCUCACAAAAGGCCUGGAUUUAUCAGUUUAAUUUAUCAAGAUUUUUUUGAUAUAAAGUUUUAAUUUCAAACUAACCAUUUUUGUGUUUCAACAUAAGAUAUCGAUUCAUAUAUAAUAUUACAGACUAUAUAGCAGUCACUGGUGGCAAAUCUGCAGUGCCACAUUUGGAAACGUCAGGUCCGGGCACAGGAGCGGCGAAGGCAAAGGGAUGACCACCAACAAUAGUAGCAGCACCAUAAAUACCUCCUAGUCCAACUAGCAUGUUUCUUCUAUCAAUGAUCUGUUUGUUUGAAGAAUCAGCAUCAUCUGAACCCUUGCAUGAGAUUUGGAAACUACGGUUACCGUACUUUUUUAAAGUGGAAACUUUUGAUGUCUUUGUUAAGAAAGGAGAAGAAUGCAAGUUGGAAAAGUGGUUGAAGAGGAAGAUGAAGAAGAGAUGGCAUUGGUCGUGGGGAGUGGAAGAGAAGCCAUUACUAUAAUUUUUGCUUGGUUUGAGGUGCAGUUCAUGAAAAUCUAGGGUUAGCAUUUAUAUAGAAUAUGGAGCAAAGACUUUUCCCUAUAAACUUAUGGUGAAAAAGAAAAAAAAUACUAACCAAAAAGAAAUACAUGUCAGGAAGAUUCUUGCAUAUCUUAACUUCCUGCAGCACGUGAUUUUUUUCGUAUUUAUUUGUUUGUUUAAUUCAAAAAUCCACGUUCGUCUGAGGUGUUGUAAGACUUAUGUAUUUAUUUAUUUACAAGAAUGUAAGAACUUUUAAUUGUUGUAUGAGUGAUCACUGCACAGCAUAAGACAGAAAUGGAAUUGACCUUCUAGAUAUAGCUUGUUGGUUUAGAAUUAAGAAAUUAAUGAUUUUUUUCAAAUAUUGUGUCUGCCGUGUCAAAAUUUACUAGUUUAGACUUAUUUUUUUUAUUUACAAUAACAGCAAGUUCCGAUGCAAUCUCAAACAGGAAGCAGCUUAUGAAGCUUCAACGCCUUCAAUAUAAUUAUUCAACAAUUCAAAUGUAGAUAGAUAAUGGUGUUAACCAAUAUUAUAUUGUAACAGGAAAUUCAAAUAAACAGGGGAAAAUAUUGCUGAUAAUUGACAAGUAGACCAGGUUUACAACUUACAAGUACGUAUUAUUUUAUUUAUCCAGUUAGACAAAGAAUCAAGACGUGCAACCUUGUAUAACAUCAACCGACCAUUCAGCGAUAAUGUUGAAAGAGUAGAAUAAGUGGAAAUUAAAAUAAUCUUGCUAAUUUUUUAAAUGCAAGUUAGCGGAUGCUAAAACCCUACAACGAGAGUGCUCACAUAGCAAAAAGAUCAUUGAAGUAGUAUUGGUUUGCCCAUUCGGACUUGUAAACACUGAACUUCAAUAUUUAAUAUGGUACUGAACUCUUAAAAAACUUGUUUGAGGAGUAUUUCGAACGACAAUUAAUGAUUAUUUUAAAGAAAAAAGUAAUAUUCAAACACAACUUUUAAGCUAGGAGCCCGUUUGGAUGAGCUUUUCUUAAAUGACUUUUAAGCAAGUAAGUUAAGAAUGUUAGCUUUUAGCUUUUGACUUGUUUUUCUCAUUAGCUUAAAAAUAAAUGUUUAAAAGCACUUUUGUUACUUUAUCUAUAUACUACAAAAUGACUUAAAAGUUAUUUUGGCAUAAAAGCAGUUAGUGGACGUUUAGACAUAAGAAUGUAAAAUUUUUUUAAAAAAAAGAAUUUUUUUCAAGUGAAAAUAGUAUUUGAAAUUUAGAGUUGUGUUUGGACAUGAAUACCAUUUUGUGUUGUUUUUGAAGUUUUGUAAGUGAUCUCAGUGAAACUUUUGAAAAAUAACUUUUUGGAGUUUUUCAAAUUUUCGAAAAAUUCCAAAAUGCAUUUUGAAGUAAAAGUUUAAAAUUUUAUGAACAUGAUAGGUAACCUUUUUCCCGGAGGUGCGUGUUGGACUAACAUGGCCACCAAUCGACGACCUUAAACACUAGGAAAUAAUGUAAAAUUGGAAAUUGCCCUACUUAAUUAGUUUGAGAAACUACUAGUUGUAGUAAUACAUGUCAAAGAAAAUGAUAAAAUAUCCUUAUAAGUAGUUUUCUUCCUUUAUUCCAGUCAAACACGCUUACAAUAUCAGGAAACAUAAAAUGCUUAAUUCAUUGAGGAAAUUGAUUAAAACCCUUUUAUUUUACUAGUCAUAAUCAAUCCUCAAAUAUAACCCGAAUACAGAAAUAUAGGGUAAGAUUGCGUAUAAUAGAUUGAUUUUGUGGUCCGAUUCUUCCCCGAACCGUGUAUAGCGGGAGCUUAGCUGGUACUGCCAAUCAAUCCUCAAGCACGAUCUUGACACCUCCAAUUUUCACAGCACCAGAACCAUUCUUUGGAACAAAAGUCACCACCACAUGAUCAUCAUCCUCGGCAUCUAAAUCUUCCAGCAGCUCAGUUAUAGCCAACUUUAACUUAGUUUUACGUUUCUUGUCACUCUUACCAUGACUAUGAUGUGGGACGUUCACAAAACUACCUGCAAACUCAGCAUUAUUCGGCGAAAUUACAGUCUCAUCUUCAUCAUUAAUCAACACAUCAAACUUGACAAAAACAUCAGUUUCCAGCUCUAUCCCUUCAACCACUAAAAUCUCCUCUUUUGCAUCUUUCUCCUUCUUGUUUCUCUUCUUCUUAUUUGGCCUCUGUACCAUAACUCUUAUCACAUGGUCAAGUUUCGUUGGGAAAACAUCUUUUGGACUUGGAAAAUUAUCAGCUGCUCUUGCUUCAACAAGUCUCCUUACACUACUCAUUGCACUUGAAACCCUAGCCCUUGGACGAGAAUUUAUCCACGGAUUAGCUACACCUUGAUAAACAUAUCCAAGUCUUGUUGUAUCCAAACAGUCACGUACCCUAAUACGUACCAUUUGUGCUUUUUCGUCGUAAAACAAAAACGAAGCAUUUAAAAAAUCGGGGUCAGUAAAAUCUUGACGUCUUCCACCUAGGGUUUUCCAAACACUCCACAAUCUAUCAAUAUUAUAAUGAUGAGCAUAAAAAAUAGGGUCUCUAGCAGCUGAAUAAAAAUCUCCCAUGUUUUCAAAAUUAGGUUGGGUUCUAUCACCGGUCCAAACAUGGACCGGUCCAUGUGGAAUGUUCUCGAGGGACCCAGCACCACCUGGUUCGCUACCGGCACGGUAAGGGUCUCCGAGGAAAGUCGCCGGAGUACUUCCAAGUGAAACCAUUUGCCUAUACAUGAUAGUGAGAUUUUGGGAAGUUUGUUGAGCGUUACUUAUGUUUGGAUCCGUUCCAUUGAAGUCGAGAUCGACCAUGAUCGGAGGCUGAUGCCUCCGAUCACGAAGAGGAUCAAAGAGAGAAGAACUACGGUUCGCAUACAUGGCAGGAAGUCUCAUGCCAUCAGGAUGAUCCCAGUUCCAAAAUGGGAUAGCGAAAGUAGGGUCAUUUAUCAAACUUCCCAAGAUUUUUUCGAAGAAGUAGAGAUAACAACGAU